rnacentral:rRNA from 1 species
AGAGUUUGAUCCUGGCUCAGAACGAACGCUGGCGGCAGGCUUAACACAUGCAAGUCGAACGCAUCCUUCGGGGUGAGUGGCAGACGGGUGAGUAACGCGUGGGAACGUGCCCUUCAGUUCGGAAUAACCCAGGGAAACUUGGGCUAAUACCGGAUACGUGCGAGAGCAGAAAGAUUUAUCGCUGAAGGAUCGGCCCGCGUCUGAUUAGCUAGUUGGUGAGGUAAUGGCUCACCAAGGCGACGAUCAGUAGCUGGUCUGAGAGGAUGAUCAGCCACAUUGGGACUGAGACACGGCCCAAACUCCUACGGGAGGCAGCAGUGGGGAAUAUUGGACAAUGGGCGCAAGCCUGAUCCAGCCAUGCCGCGUGAGUGAUGAAGGCCUUAGGGUUGUAAAGCUCUUUCGUCCGGGACGAUAAUGACGGUACCGGAAGAAGAAGCCCCGGCUAACUUCGUGCCAGCAGCCGCGGUAAUACGAAGGGGGCUAGCGUUGUUCGGAAUCACUGGGCGUAAAGGGCGCGUAGGCGGCUUGAUAAGUCGGGGGUGAAAGCCUGUGGCUCAACCACAGAAUUGCCUUCGAUACUGUCUGGCUUGAGACCGGAAGAGGUAAGUGGAACUGCGAGUGUAGAGGUGAAAUUCGUAGAUAUUCGCAAGAACACCAGUGGCGAAGGCGGCUUACCGGUCCGGUUCUGAGCUGAGGCGCGAAAGCGUGGGGAGCAAACAGGAUUAGAUACCCUAGUAGUCC